AACGCACAUUGCGCCCUUUGGUAUUCCGAAGGGCAUGCCUGUUCGAGCGUCAUUACACCCCUCAAGCUCUGCUUGGUAUUGGGCAGCGUCCUUUCGGACGCGCCUCAAAGACCUCGGCGGUGGCGUCUUGCCUCAAGCGUAGUAGAAAACACCUCGCUUUGGAGGACGGGACGACCGCUCGCCGGACGAACCUUUGAAUUUAUUUUCCUAGGUUGACCUCGGAUCAGGUAGGGAUACCCGCUGAACUUAA
rnacentral:misc_RNA from 1 species